CGUAGGUAACCUGCCUGGUAGUGGGGGAUAACUAUUGGAAACGAUAGCUAAUACCGCAUGAUAACAGUUGUUGCAUGACAACUGUUUGAAAGGUGCAAUUGCAUCACUACCAGAUGGACCUGCGUUGUAUUAGCUAGUUGGUGGGGUAACGGCUCACCAAGGCGACGAUACAUAGCCGACCUGAGAGGGUGAUCGGCCACACUGGGACUGAGACACGGCCCAG
rnacentral:rRNA from 1 species